UCUUGGUUUGGUUUUGGCUGCGGUGA
rnacentral:sRNA from 1 species